rnacentral:rRNA from 1 species
GGGUGAGUAAUACGUGAGUAACCUGCCCUUGACUCUGGGAUAAGCCCGGGAAACUGGGUCUAAUACUGGAUGCUACAUGUCACCGCAUGGUGGUGUGUGGAAAGGGUUCACUGGUCUUGGAUGGGCUCACGGCCUAUCAGCUUGUUGGUGAGGUAAUGGCUCACCAAGGCGACGACGGGUAGCCGGCCUGAGAGGGUGACCGGCCACACUGGGACUGAGACACGGCCCAG